GCCGCGGUGCUGGAAUUGGUUUACAGGACGGACUUAAAAUCCGUUGGGUGAAUAACCCGUGUGGGUUCGAGUCCCACCCGCGGCACAA
rnacentral:tRNA from 1 species